rnacentral:sRNA from 1 species
AUAAAACCAAAUUUUUUCAACUCGUCUUCUUCACCUGAGUUUUUCACAUCACUGGAACUUCUAAUUCCUCAUCGUUUUCCUCAUUUUUCUUCAAUUUCUUACAUCCUUCUCCCGAUAUAGUUGAUCCGGUUCCGGUAAUUGUUGUUUUUAGGAAUUGGGUAUAAAAACACAAAUAUAUAUUUAACACCGAUGAAAGAGGGUGUAGACUUGUGCAGAUAGAUGCGGAAACAACACACGACAAACUUGUGAAGUUGGUGCUCGAUGAAAAAGUUAGAUGAAAUGCUGCAUCUCUUAUUGUUUCGCGACAAAUUUACAUGUCACGGCUGAGUUAUAUGCUUAAGGGAAGACGAAAGGUUCAGUCAAUUUACAUGUCACGACUGAGUUAUAUGUUCCAGAAAAGACGAAAGAUUCGAUAAAAUUACAUUACAACAGAGUUAUAUGCUUAAGGGAGAACGAAAGAUUCAGUCAAUUUACAUGUCACGGCUGAAUUAUAUGUUCCAGGGAAGACGAAAAGUUCGGUAAAAUUACAUUACGGGUGAGUUAUAUGUUCAAGGGCAAACGAAAGAUGAGUGUAUAUUAUAUGUUACGGCUCAGUUAUAUGCUUCAGGGAAGACGAAAUGUUUGAUAAAUUACAUGUCAUGGCUGAGUUAUCAUUCAGGGAAGACGAAAGGUUGUGUAAAUUAUGUUACGGCUGAGUUACAUCAAAUUAUGGUUCAGUUACAUUACGUUACGGCUGAGUUACAUCACUUUACGGCUGAUUUAUAAUAUAGAUUGGAAAACAACAUUUUUCUGGGGAAGACAAUAUAAAAUUUAUUGGCCAAAUAACAACAAUCAAAUUAAGAAACGUAAGAAUAUGUUUGAGGGAUACAUAGGAGGAAGACGAAACCGUAUGAAUCAAAACGUUGAUAGAAGUAGAAAUAUCUCUAAAUAGAUCGAUUGAGAGAAAAAUUAAACGAGAGACAUAUAAAAUCAAAGUAAAAGAGUAGCUAUUCUUGAUUCAACUUAAACCUGCAACGAAUCAUACAAAAUUCCAUACAUCUCUUUGAUUUGGGUUUUGAUUUUUGAUGACUUGAAAUUCGACACCACCGAAGGAGUUUCGGCCGGAAGAAACGAGAUAAGUAGAGAACGGCGACGAAAUUAGGUUCCGUCGACUGAACAAGAGAAGAGAGUGACGUUUUUUUUUUUUU